rnacentral:rRNA from 1 species
AUAAUACUCCAUAGAUUAGAGACACUGGAAUGUUCUUUAGUCGAAAGUUCUGGCGCCUAGGAUGGAUCUGCGGUCGAUUAGGUUGUUGUUGGGGUAACGGCCCAACAAGCCUGUAAUCGAUACGGGUUUGUGGGAGCAAGAGCCCGGAGAUGGAAUCUGAGACACGAUUCCAGGCCCUACGGGGCGCAGCAGGCGCGAAAACUUACCAAUGCAGGAAACUGUGAUAAGGGAACUCCGAGUGCCCGUAUACGCGGGCUGUCCAGGUGUUUAAAAAUCAUCUGAAGAAAGGGCCGGGCAAGACCGGUGCCAGCCGCCGCGGUAAUACCGGCGGCUCGAGUGGUGGCCACUAUUAUUGGGCUUAAAGCGUCCGUAGCUGGACCGAUAAGUCUCUUGGGAAAUCCGCCGGCUCAACCGGCGGGCGUCUAAGGGAUACUGUUAGUCUAGGGACCGGGAGAGGUGAGAGGUACUCCGGGGGUAGGAGUGAAAUCCUGUAAUCCCCGGGGGACCACCGAUGGCGAAGGCAUCUCACCAGAACGGCUCCGACAGUGAGGGACGAAAGCUGGGGGAGCGAACCGGAUUAGAUACCCGGGUAGUCCCAGCCGUAAACUAUGCGCGUUAGGUGU